rnacentral:lncRNA from 1 species
ACAAAGCCUUACUCUGUGAAUUAUUUAUUCCAUAAUCAAUCAAAUACCUAUUGGCUAAAGCCCAAUCUACCCUUACACAAGAACUAAUUGCAACCCCAACAGAUAACCCUAACUUGUUACAAUCACUCACCCAAAUUGCCUUACUUACAACAAAGUGCAAAUUACAAAGUAAAUGCUAGCUACAAUUACAAAAGAAAAAUAAAACAAAAGCACUCCACAAAAGAUGCAUUGGCACGUGCAUAAGUGCUGCCUAUUUAUAGGGAAAAUAUGAUAGCUUCUUUAAGUAACAUUGUAAAGAAAAAAUCACCAUUUGGAUUGUAACAUUAUCCAAGAUAAAGUCAUCGAGUUUCAAUCUCAAAUAGUCAACUCAAUUACCAAGUAAAAGGCUUAAAGGAUAAGAAUAAGUUCCUAAGAUAAGGAAAGUCGAUCCUUCAUUCUCUUUCUCUCCCAAAUUUGAUUAACAUCAUUGAGGAUAGAAUAAAACAUGGCUUAAGGAUCAUUUAUUGAGUGUCUAACACAUUGUAAGGCCCAAGUUUAGCCCAGGCCCGUACAAACACAAAACACAAAAGAAAAAAUUAUUAUAAUAAAAAUAUUAUAACAGUCUAAAUUUAAAGGUCUAUUUACAAAUUUUCGGGCCUAAACCAAACCAAACCCAAGCAUUAAAUACCAAACUAACCCCUAACCCAAUAAACCUAACCCGAAUAGCCUAAUAAUCCUAACCCAAGGAACCCAAAAGCCCAAAUGUAGAAAUGGCCAAAUGGCCCAAAUGACCCAAAUUUUGGUUUCAGAAAGGGAAACCCUAGCAGCAAUGAGCGCUGUAGCCCGCAGCCCACAGCACCGUAAGACCGCCACGAGAGACCUCUGUACGCCCUACGCCGAGUGCCACGCACACCUCUGUAUGCCCCACAGCUAGCCCCGUAGCCUAUACCUGCACACCAAACGCAAGAGGACAACAGCAAAUACAAAAAAAAUAGAAAAUUUUUUAUUUUUAUUUGAUUUUUUAUUUUCGGCUAUAAAGCCAAGAGAUUUCAUUUUUGUAAGGUUUACCCACACAUAAUAAAGAAAAAGCAAUCAAAAAUAGCAAAGGUGAUUUCGAGUUUUUUCUCCUUCCCUCUCGAUUUAUUUUCUUUUUGGUUGGUUCGAUUUUUUAGUAUGUGAAUCGACACCGAUGAAAGCCCAAAUACCUCGUAGAUGCGAGGUAAGGGCGAGGGGUCGAACAGUGUUGAAAGCUUCCUUGUUCUAUGAACCUUUCUUCGUUUUUUUCUUUAAAAAUAACAUGGGAUUUGAAGUUUUUUUCAAAUAAAGAAGAAAAGGAGAACGAAUACACUCACUAAAUUCCUUUAGGCGAGGUCAAGCACCUUCAGUGGCGGGAUCGGGGUACUGUUGCGCGCUAUUGGUCAUCAGUUGUGAUGGUGGUUCGACGGGUGCGGCAAAAUAAGCCCUAGCAGAAUGGUGCCCUUGUUUUUUAAAGCAAAAGACUGGUUAUGUUUAAAAAGAAAAUGAAUAAAAAUAAGGGUUUAAAGGCUAAAUUAAAAACAGCGGCGUUCAAAAAGGGUAAAGAUCCGUGUGUUGACCCGAUUAGCAGGCCGGAUCCGUGCGCCUUUGCUUAAAUUGGGAAAUUUGCGCGCGUGGCCCUUCUCCUUCGUGCUAAUUUUGAAUUAGGUCGUAUUUACACUUUAUUUGUUUUUUUAAAUUUCACCUGAAAUUAGGGUAUCGUAUCAAUUUGAUUCCGGGCCUAAACAAUGCGUUUUGGGAUUUAGAUUAUUUAUUGCUUUAGUCCUUGUGUAUUCGCG